UGCAUGGUUGUCGUCAGCUCGUGCCGUGAGGUGUCGGGUUAAGGUCCCAUAACGAGCGCAACCCCUACCUUAGUUGCCAUCAGGUUAAGCUGGGGACGUCUAAAGGAACUGCCUACGCAAGUAGUGAGGAAGGCGGGGAGUGACGUCAAAUCAGCACGGCCCUUACGUCCAGGGCUACACACGUGCUACAAUGGCCGAUACAGAGGGCAGCUACCUGGUGACAGGAUGCAAAUCUCCAAAGUCGGUCUCAGUUCGGAUCGGAGUCUGCAACCCGACUCCGUGAAGUUGGAUUCGCUAGUAAUCGCGCAUCAGCCAUGGCGCGGUGAAUACGUUCCCGGGCCUU
rnacentral:rRNA from 1 species